AACGAACGCUGGCGGCAGGCUUAAUACAUGCAAGUCGAACGCCCCCUUCGGGGGGAGUGGCAGACGGGUGAGUAACGCGUGGGAACGUGCCCCAAGGUAGGGAACAACUCCGGGAAACUGGAGCUAAUACCCUAUGUGUCCGAGAGGAGAAAGAUUUAUCGCCUUGGGAUCGGCCCGCGUCAGAUUAGCUAGUUGGUGGGGUAAAAGCCUACCAAGGCUACGAUCUGUAGCUGUUCUGAGAGGAAGAUCAGCCACACUGGGACUGAGACACGGCCCAGACUCCUACGGGAGGCAGCAGUAGGGAAUCUUGGACAAUGGGCGCAAGCCUGAUCCAGCCAUGCCGCGUGAGUGAUGAAGGCCCUAGGGUUGUAAAACUCUUUCGCCGAGGACGAUAAUGACGGUACUCGGAGAAGAAGCUCCGGCUAACUUCGUGCCAGCCGCCGCAGUAAGAC
rnacentral:rRNA from 1 species